rnacentral:rRNA from 1 species
GAGGAAGGUGGGGAUGACGUCAAAUCAGCACGGCCCUUACGUCCGGGGCUACACACGUGUUACAAUGGGGGGUACAGAAGGCCGCUACCUGGUGACAGGAUGCCAAUCCCAAAAACCUCUCUCAGUUCGGAUCGAAGUCUGCAACCCGACUUCGUGAAGCUGGAUUCGCUAGUAAUCGCGCAUCAGCCAUGGCGCGGUGAAUACGUUCCCGGGCCUUGUACACACCGCCCGUCAAGCCAUGAAAGCCGGGGGUACCUGAAGUACGUAACCGCAAGGAGCGUCCUAGGGUAAAACUGGUAAUUGGGGCUAAGUCG